GAGAAAGCAGGGGACCUUCGGGCCUUGCGCUAUCAGAUGAGCCUAGGUCGGAUUAGCUAGUUGGUGGGGUAAUGGCUCACCAAGGCGACGAUCCGUAACUGGUCUGAGAGGAUGAUCAGUCACACUGGAACUGAGACACGGUCCAGACUCCUACGGGAGGCAGCAGUGGGGAAUAUUGGACAAUGGGCGAAAGCCUGAUCCAGCCAUGCCGCGUGUGUGAAGAAGGUCUUCGGAUUGUAAAGCACUUUAAGUUGGGAGGAAGGGCAGUAAGUUAAUACCUUGCUGUUUUGACGUUACCGACAGAAUAAGCACCGGCUAACUCUGUGCCAGCAGCCGCGGUAAUACAGAGGGUGCAAGCGUUAAUUCGGAAUUACUGGGGGCGUAAAAGCGCGCGUAGGUGGUUUGUUAAGUUGGAUGUGAAAGCCCCCGGGCUCAACCUUGGGAACUGCAUCCAAAACUGGCAAGCUAGAGUACGGUAGAGGGUGGUGGAAUUUCCUGUGUAGCGGUGAAAUGCGUAGAUAUAGGAAGGAACACCAGUGGCGAAGGCCCGACCACCUGGACUGAUACUGACACUGAGGUGCGAAAGCGUGGGGAGCAAACAGGAUUAGAUACCCUGGUAGUCCACGCCGUAAACGAUGUCAACUAGCCGUUGGAAUCCUUGACAUUUUAGUGGCGCAGCUAACGCAUUAAGUUGACCGCCCUGGGGAGUACGGCCGCAAGGUUAAAACUCAAAUGAAUUGACGGGGGGCCCCGCACAAGCGGUGGGAGCAUGUGGUUUAAUUCGAAGCAACGCGAAGAACCUUACCAGGCCUUGACAUACAGAGAACUUUCCGAGAUAAAUUGGUGCCUUCGGGAACUCUGACACAGGUGCUACAUGGCUGUCGUCAGCUCGUGUCGUGAGAUCUCCGGGUUAAGUCCCGUAACGAGCACAACCCUUGUCCUUAGUUACCAGCACGUAAUGGUGGGCACUCUAAGGAGACUGCCGGUACAAACCGCAGCAACGCCCGAUGACUCAAUCAUCAUGGCCUUGACGGCCUGG
rnacentral:rRNA from 1 species